rnacentral:tRNA from 1 species
AAGCUGAUAGCUUAUGUGGUAAAGCAUGUGGCUCAUAACUACAAGGUAAUUGGUUCAAUUCCAAUUCAGCUUA